CGGUCUCCUGGACCAUUUCUGACGCUUAAACACGAAAGCUAGGGUAGCAAACGGGAUUAGAGACCCCGGUAGUCCUAGCUGUAAACGAUGUAGACUUGGCGUUGGCGGAGUUAAAUCUGCCAGUGCCGAAGCUAACGCGUGAAGUCUACCGCCUGGGGGACUACGACCGCAAGGGUUAAAACUCAAAGGGAAUUGACGGGGGACCCGCACAAGCAGCGGAGCGUGUGGUUUAAUUCGAUGCUACACGAAGAACCUUACCAAGGUUUGACAUGCAAGUGGUAGUGAUCUGAAAAGUGAACGACCCUUCGGGGAGCUUGUACAAGUGCUACAGGCUGUCGUCAGCUCGUGUCGUUAGAUGUUCGGUUAAGUCCGCUAACGAGCGCAACCCUCACUGUGUGUUACAUGUGUCACACGGGACUGCCGGUUUUAAGCCGGAAGAAGGUGAGGAUGACGUCAAGUCAGCAUGGCCUUUAUAUCUUGGGCUACACACACGCUACAAUGGUCUGUACAAUAAGUUGCCAAGCCGCGAAGCGGAGCCAAUCCUAAAAGCAGGCCUCAGUUCAGAUUGUAGGCUGCAACCCGCCUGCAUGAAGAUGGAGUUGCUAGCAACCGCAGGUCAGCUAUACUGCGGUGAAUACGUUCCCGGGUCUUGUACACACCGCCCGUCACGUCAUGGAAGCUGGCAACACCUGAAGCCGGUAUCCUAACCGCAAGGAGGGAGCCGUCGAAGGUGGGGUCGGUAACUGGGACGAAGUCGUAACAAGGUA
rnacentral:rRNA from 1 species